rnacentral:rRNA from 1 species
AACGAACGCUGGCGGCAGGCUUAACACAUGCAAGUCGAGCGAGGUUUUCGGACCUAGCGGCGGACGGGUGAGUAACGCGUGGGAACGUGCCCUUUGCUACGGAAUAGCCUCUGGAAACGGAGAGUAAUACCGUAUGUGCCCGGUAACGGGGAAAGAUUUAUCGGCAAAGGAUCGGCCCGCGUUGGAUUAGGUAGUUGGUGGGGUAAUGGCCUACCAAGCCGACGAUCCAUAGCUGGUUUGAGAGGAUGAUCAGCCACACUGGGACUGAGACACGGCCCAGACUCCUACGGGAGGCAGCAGUGGGGAAUCUUAGACAAUGGGGGCAACCCUGAUCUAGCCAUGCCGCGUGAGUGAUGAAGGCCUUAGGGUUGUAAAGCUCUUUCAGCUGGGAAGAUAAUGACGGUACCAGCAGAAGAAGCCCCGGCUAACUCCGUGCCAGCAGCCGCCGCUG